rnacentral:rRNA from 1 species
CAGCCGCCGCGGUAAUACGUAGGUCCCGAGCGUUGUCCGGAUUUAUUGGGCGUAAAGCGAGCGCAGGCGGUUAGAUAAGUCUGAAGUUAAAGGCUGUGGCUUAGCCAUGGUACGCUUUGGAAACUGUUUAACUUGAGUGCAAGAGGGGAGAGUGGAAUUCCAUGUGUAGCGGUGAAAUGCGUAGAGAUGUGGAGGAACACCAGUGGCGAAGGCGGCUCUCUGGUCUGUAACUGACGCUGAGGAGCGAAAGCGUGGGGAGCGAACAGGAUUAGAUACCCCGGUAGUCCCUGUCUCUUAUACC